rnacentral:rRNA from 1 species
UACAGAGGUCCCGAGCGUUGUUCGGAUUCACUGGGCGUAAAGGGUGCGUAGGCGGUCGGGUAAGUCUGAUGUGAAAUCUCACAGCUUAACUGUGAAACUGCAUUGGAUACUAUUCGGCUUGAGAGUUGGAGGGGGGACUGGAAUUCUUGGUGUAGCAGUGAAAUGCGUAGAUAUCAAGAGGAACACCAGUGGCGAAGGCGAGUCCCUGGACAACUUCUGACGCUGAGGCGCGAAAGCCAGGGGAGCGAACGGG